rnacentral:rRNA from 1 species
GACGAACGCUGGCGGCGUGCUUAACACAUGCAAGUCGAACGGUGAAGGGGCCUGCUUUUGUGGGCCCUGGAUGAGUGGCGAACGGGUGAGUAACACGUGAGUAACCUGCCCCCUUCUUCUGGAUAACCGCAUGAAAGUGUGGCUAAUACGGGAUAUUCUGGGUCUGUCGCAUGAUGGGUCUGGGAAAGAUUGCGCCUUUGGGUGUUUUUGGUGGGGGAUGGGCUCGCGGCCUAUCAGCUUGUUGGUGGGGUGAUGGCCUACCAAGGCGGUGACGGGUAGCCGGCCUGAGAGGGUGGACGGUCACACUUGGACUGAGACACGGCCCAGACUCCUACGGGAGGCAGCAGUGGGGAAUAUUGCACAAUGGGCGCAAGCCUGAUGCAGCGACGCCGCGUGAGGGAUGGAGGCCUUCGGGUUGUAAACCUCUUUCGCCAGUGAAGCAGGCCUGCUCCUUGUGGGUGGGUUGACGGUAGCUGGAUAAGAAGCGCCGGCUAACUACGUG